GUCGAACGCCCCGCAAGGGGAGUGGCAGACGGGUGAGUAACGCGUGGGAAUCUACCCAAUUCUUCGGAACAACUGAGGGAAACUUCAGCUAAUACCGGAUACGCCCUACGGGGGAAAGAUUUAUCGGAAUUGGAUGAGCCCGCGUUGGAUUAGCUAGUUGGUGAGGUAAUGGCUCACCAAGGCGACGAUCCAUAGCUGGUCUGAGAGGAUGAUCAGCCACACUGGGACUGAGACACGGCCCAGACUCCUACGGGAGGCAGCAGUGGGGAA
rnacentral:rRNA from 1 species